UUGGCAAUAAGUGAAUAAGCUCAGGACUGAUUAAAGACAAAAGAAUUUAAAUAUAAGCAACUUUAAAAUGAAACAAAUGUACUAAAUCAGAAUAAAGCAUGAAAUUUAUUACAUCAAAACUAUAAAGCACUCACAUACAAUACUAAGUUACAUCCUCAUCAUAUUAACUGCUGCUUCAAGCACAACCUAUACCAGCAAACCUAUAUUGCGGUUAUUACAACAACACUCCCGCUAAUAAUUAAUUAAUUACCGGCACAGAAGUCCUGAUAACUUCAAAAUAAAACUCGACAAUGCUUAAUUAGCAACAAAAGGAAGAAGAAGAAGAAGAACAAGAAAAUUGUACAGCUAUUAAAUUUAAAGAAAGAACAAAUAUAUAAAAGCAGUCGGACCAGGAGCUCUUAAUUCCCCUUGCAUGGAUAUGAAUGCCUCUCCAUGUUUUGUUAAUUCUUAGCUUGAUAACCCAUUUAUCAACUUAAUUGAAUGGCCACUCCUCUGAUGGAAACCAAACAGAAGCCUAAAUUUCUUUUCUUGGAGAAGCGAAACAAAGACAAGCACCCGGACAAGCUUCAAAGCAACCGCCAUGGUCAUACUGUGUGAGAGAUUAGCUAGCUAGGAAGCAAAAAAAUCUAUAUAUAUAGGUGCUAGUCUAGUUAAGAGAGAGAGAUAUACAGUUAUAUAAGAAGUAGGUUAGUAGCCAAGUAGGGAAAGCUUUGAGAGGUACUGUGAAGAGAGACAAUAUUGCAAUAGCUAAAAUGUUAUAUUCCCGCAUGCACGUUUCUCUUUUAAUAUACAGUGUCUGCACGUUUCUCUUUUAAUAAAAAAAAGGAAAGGAAAGAAAGAGAGGGAAAGCGAAGAGUUUUUCUUCUUUUUUUUUUUUUUUCUUUUCAAGCCAAAGCAUGGUGCCCUAAAGCUACACCUCCUUUUUCUAAAUAAAAGGAUCUUUUAUAUAUAUGUUAAAGGCUUAAUUUUUGUAUAUGAGGUUUGAAUUUUCGUUUGUUGUUUGUUUUUUUCUUCUUUUAUGUUUGGGUAGGUUAAUGUUUCAAAUUAAA
rnacentral:lncRNA from 1 species